rnacentral:rRNA from 1 species
UGUCUUUUUGAGAUAAUAUAAAGUCUAAUCUGCCCACUGAUUUUAAAUUAAAGGGCUGCAGUAUAUUGACUGUACAAAGGUAGCAUAAUCAAUAGUCAUUUAAUUGAUGGCUUGUAUGAAAGAUUGGAUGAAAUAUAAACUGUCUCUUAUUUAACUAUAAAAUUUAAUUUUUUUAUAAAAAAGUUAAAAUAAUUUAAAAAGACGAGAAGACCCUAUAGAGUUUUAUAAAUAAUUAAGUUAAAAUUAUAUGUAAAAUAAAUUUAAAAUUUGAAUUAUUUAUUUUGUUGGGGUGACAAAAAAAUAUAAAAAACUUUUUUAUUUUAAAACAUUUAUAAUUGAUUAAGAUGAUCCAAUAAUAUUGAUUGUAAGAAAAAAUUACCUUAGGGAUAACAGCGUAAUUUUUUUUUUUAGUUCAAAUAAGAAAAAGAGUUUGCGACCUCGAUGUUGGAUUAAGAUAAAAGUUAGGUGUAGAAG